rnacentral:rRNA from 1 species
UACGGGGGGAGCAAGCGUUGUUCGGAUUUACUGGGCGUAAAGGGCGCGUAGGCGGCGUAACAAGUCACUUGUGAAAUCUCCGGGCUUAACCCGGAGCGGCCAAGUGAUACUGUUGUGCUAGAGUGCGGAAGGGGCUACUGGAAUUCUCGGUGUAGCGGUGAAAUGCGUAGAUAUCGAGAGGAACACCUGCGGCGAAGGCGGGUAGCUGGGCCGAAACUGACGCUGAGGCGCGAAAGCCAGGGGAGCGAAAGGG